AUUGAACGCUGGCGGCAUGCCUUACACAUGCAAGUCGAACGGUAACGGGCCUUCGGGUGCCGUCGAGUGGCGAACGGGUGAGUAAUACAUCGGAACGUGCCCGAUCGUGGGGGGUAACGAGGCGAAAGCUUUGCUAAUACCGCAUACGAUCUACGGAUGAAAGCAGGGGACCGCAAGGCCUUGCGCGGACGGAGCGGCCGAUGGCAGAUUAGGUAGUUGGUGGGAUAAAAGCUUACCAAGCCGACGAUCUGUAGCUGGUCUGAGAGGAUGAUCAGCCACACUGGAACUGAGGCACGGCCCAGACUCCUACGGGAGGCAGCAGUGGGGAAUUUUGGACAAUGGGCGCAAGCCUGAUCCAGCCAUGCCGCGUGCAGGAUGAAGGCCUUCGGGUUGUAAACUGCUUUUGUACGGAACGAAAAGCCUUCUUUUAAUACAGGAGGGUCAUGACGGUACCGUAAGAAUAAGCACCGGCUAACUACGUG
rnacentral:rRNA from 1 species